rnacentral:rRNA from 1 species
CUGCUGCCUCCCGUAGGAGUCUGGGCCGUAUCUCAGUCCCAAUGUGGCCGGCCAACCUCUCAGUCCGGCUACUGAUCGUCGCCUUGGUGGGCCGUUACCCCACCAACUAGCUAAUCAGACGCGAGGCCAUCUUUCGGCGAUAAAUCUUUGACAUUCAGACCAUGCGGCCCAAAUGUAUCAUGCGGUAUUAGCAGUCGUUUCCAACUGUUCGUCCCCCUCGAAAGGCAGGUUCCUCACGCGUUACUCACCAGUCCCG